UACAAUCUACGGAGGCACGUUCGAGAUAUGGACUUCGAAUAAUUAGCUAAAUUUGAAGGACAAUGGAGACAUGGACUGGAACUAAUUACUGAAAGAGGAAGGACUUCUCGAGUGACUUGUUUUCGAACUAAUUACCAAAAUUUGAGGGACAUCCAACACAUGGGCUUGGACUAAUAAAACCAUGAGAUCGGAGAGAGACAAUCAAAUAGCGGUCUCGAGAUUUUCACCGAGGUCGGAGUCCGUGCUGGCGUCUGUACUGCUCUCGGGGGAAGUGUAAAGAUAAGGAUCAGGGAUACUGUCCACUACAAAAUAAACAAAACCUCAACCUCAAAAUAAACAUAAACACUCAUCCUCAAAAUAAACAAAAAACACUCAACCUCAAAAUAAACAAAAACUCAACCUCAAAAUAAACAAAAACUUAACCUCAAAAUUAACAAAAACACUCAACAUCAAAACAAACAAAAACACUCAACCUCAAAAUAAACAAAAACACUCAACCUCAAAAUAAACAAAAACACUCAACAUAAAACCCCCCAAAAAUAACUCAACCUCAAAAUAAACAAAAACUCAACCUCAAAAUAAACAAAAACACUCAAAUUUAAAAUAAACAAAAACACUCAACCUCAAAAUAAGCAAAAACUCAACCUCAAAAUAAACAAAUACUCUCAACCUCAAAAUAAACAAAAACACUCAGUAUCAAAACAAGCAAAAACACUCAAAUUAAAUAAACAAAAACACUCAACCUCAAAAUAAGCAAAAACUCAACCUCAAAAUAAACAAAAACACUCAGCAUCAAAACAAGCAAAAACACUCAAAUUCAAAAUAAACAAAAACACUCAACCUCAAAAUAAGCAAAAACUCAACCUCAAAAUAAACAAAUACACUCAACCUCAAAAUAAACAAAAACACUCAGCAUCAAAACAAGCAAAAACACUCAAAUUAAAUAAACAAAAACACUCAAUCUCAAAAUAAGCAAAAACUCAACCUCAAAAUAAACAAAAACACUCAGCAUCAAAACAAGCAAAAACACUCAAAUUCAAAAUAAACAAAAACACUCAACCUCAAAAUAAACAAAAACUCAACCUCAAAAUAAACAAAAACACUCAAACUCA